rnacentral:lncRNA from 1 species
UAUGUGGUGUAGAGGCGCUCGGGGGGUCCUCCAAGAAAUUUGGCUCUUGGGCCUCAGUUGCAGGUGGCGCAGUGGCCAAUGGAACUGCUUGGACUGGUGGUGAAGGGGCUUGUGGUGUUGGCGAUGAGGGAGGAGGAGCAGGCGUUGAUGGGGGUGGUGAGGUUGGAAGAGGGGGUUGAGCAGGUGGAGAAGAUGGUGCCACCCUCUUCCUUUUCGUGACAAGGCCAUCCUCUGUGACCUCGUCGUCCUCUUCUUCCUCUUGGACGACUUGGGGGGCUUUCCGCUUAGGCCUCUUAAGGACCAGCUUCUUGCGUUGGGUGGGCUCCUUGGGCGGUGAUCGCCCAUGAAUGAUGGCCUUCUCGACCGCCGAG